rnacentral:rRNA from 1 species
UACGUAGGGGGCAAGCGUUGUCCGGAAUCAUUGGGCGUAAAGCGCGUGUAGGCGGCUCGAUAAGUCUGCUGUGAAAGUCCAAGGCUCAACCUUGGGAUGCCGGUGGAUACUGUCGAGCUCGAGUCCGGAAGAGGAGUGUGGAAUUCCUGGUGUAGCGGUGAAAUGCGCAGAUAUCGGAAAGAACACCAACGGCGAAAGCACUCUGCUGGGCCGACACUGACACUGAGAGACGAAAGCUAGGGGAGCGAAUGGG